CGGCGGCGGCUGGAGGCGGAGGCAGCGGAGAAGGAGGAGGUGCCCAGGCACUCCCCCUCCCAUUGUCCCCAGGCCCGGCCCCGCGCCCCGCACCGCGCCCCGCGCCCCCGGCCGCGCAGCCAGCCCUUACCUUGCAGCGCCUGGCUCUCCCCCGCUCGCUAAAGCUACUUAUCCCAGGAAAGCUCGCACGGGGCCCGGGAGCGAACCCACAGACAAAAAGUGAAACUUCGGCAGGGCUGGAGCGGCUGCUGGAAGAGGAAGAUGCAGAAGGUAAAAGGCCUGGGCAUUUAAAUAAAAUCAGAUAACUUCCUCAAGAGAUGAAGACUGGAUGUAAGCAGACCAAUGGGAAGGAAGAGGAAGAAUCAACAGAGCCUGGCCACUUGGAAACAGAAGCAGGAUGGGCAUGGGGAGGCAAAGGAGAGGAAGCAGCCAUUGGCAACACCUGGGACUUAACGAUCCAAUGUUAUCCAGUGAGGGAGUGAAUGCAAGAAUCCUUCAUCUUGGCUAGAGAAGCAACACAGUUGUUAUCGUCUCUCUGGAAGACUGGUCAUGUUAUCUUAGACCAUGACUCUGGGCAGGUACCAGGAGGGAUGAGGGAGAGGGGGAGGAUUUAAUAUUUGUUGUUUGUUACAAUGUGCCCUGUGUGCGAGAUUCUAGAGAAACCGUGCACCUCAGAUUGGGGCUUGAACCCACAAGGCUGGGACUCAAACCCAGCUGAAACCCACAGUCUUCCAAAUGAGAUCACACACCUGGUUUCAGGAUUUAGUGAAGCUCAGGUUCUUGAUGUCUCAUCACAGAAAGAAUUCAGUGAGAGACAAAGUGAUAGGUAACAAAUUGAUUUAUUUAGAGAGAAACACUCUACAGACAGAGUGUGGGCCAUCUCAGAAGGUGAGAAAAGCACCAGGGUAUGGGGUUGUCAGUUUUUACAGGGGUGGGUAAUUUCAUAGGCUAAUGAGUGGGAGAAGUAUUCCAGCCAUUUCAGGAAGGGGUGGGGAUUUCCAGGAAUUGGGCCACCACCCACUUUUUUUUAUUAAUUAAUUUAUUUAUUUUUUUAUUUUUGGCUGGGUUGGGCUUUCUCUAGUUGCGGCAGACGGGGGCUACUCUUCGUUGUGGUGCGUGGGCUUCUCAUUGCAGUGGCUUCUCUUGCGGAGCACGGGCUCCAGGCUCACAGGCUUCAGCAGUUGUGGCUCGCAGGCUCAGUAGUUGUGGCACAUGGGCUCUAGAGCGCAGGCUCAGUAGUUGUGGCGCACGGGCUUAGUUGCUCCACGGCAUGUGGGAUCUUCCUGGACCAGGGCUUGAACCCAUGUCCUCUGCAUUGGCAGGUGGAUUCUUAACCACUGCGCAACCAGGGAAGCCCCGCACCACCCACUUCUUGAUCCUUAUGGUCAGUCUUGGGACUGUCAUGGAGCCUGUGGGUGUGUCAUUUAGCUUGCUGAUGUGUUACAGUGAGCUUAUACUGAGGCUCAAGAUCUAAUGGAAAUCGACUUGUCCUACAUCUUGGACCCAUUUUGUUCAAAUCAGCUUAUGUCCUCGAGCUAUGUCAUUCUUUCCAAAGUUGUGCCCUGCCCCCUUCCCUCCCGUUUCACUAGGUCUUGUCACAUUUAGCAUAUAUCAAUUUUACAAAUUAUCUAAGGAUAUAGUUCUGCUCUGGGAGUAGACAUAGAAUUAAAGCAAUGGUUGCUUUUCAACUUUAUAUCAAAUAAAUUCUUUAAAAAAAUACUCAAGGUUAACUUUUUCCAGGAAGAAUUAAGCACAAGUGACAGUUUAAAUAUUUGAUGUGUCCUGCUCUAUAGCUGAGCUUAAUUCUCUUCUCAAGACUAUUGUACCAGCCUGUGAUGCAAACAAGACCUCUGACCAGAUCAGAUAAGCAUCAGCGUUUUGUAAAGAGAUGAAAACUUGGUAAACAAUAGUGGUAGGCUUUUAUUAAAUGCAGUAUUAAAGAUAAUGAAGUCUAUUACAAAAGGUCUGUUUACUCUCUAUUCUUCACAUCUCAUUGUACAAUGGGAAAAAAUUAUCUCCGUGUAAAAAAGGAAUAGAUUAUCAGACUUCCUAAAUGAAUAUUUUCUCCCUGUUUUGAGAGGGAGAAAAGACUUGGAUUUUUCUUGAGGGGAAAAUGGUAUCGCAAGCUACUUUCUUUAUUGGUUUUGAGAAAUCAAGCCAAUGUAGACUAAUGAUAGUUUGUAUCUGCCCAUGAAUUUCUGCACAAUUUUACCCAGCUUUGCAGCCCAGUUUUCAGCCAGAGGCUGUAAUCAUUGUUUGCAUUUUAUCAGAUCGCAGGAACAGCUUAUCUGAAUGCAGUCUGGCCCAUCCCAACUCACCCUUGCACAAGUCUGCUGACUUUUGACCUCAGGUAAGCCCAGAACAUAGGAGAGCUGUGACCACACCUGGAAGCCAGUGAAACUUCAAAGGUCAGUCAGUCUAGUCUGACAGGGGGCCAGUCUGUGGUAGUAGAAAUGUUGAUGGAUGGAGCUUUAAUCCCUCUUGGGUCCACUACCAAUGAAAAGUUUCACAGAGACUCAAACACAAAGGGAGACAAGUUACGCCACCUUUUUAUUUUAACAAGUAUAUAAUAUGCACUUGCUAACUGUACUAGACCUAGGAAUAGUGUUGAGAAAAUAGACACAAUGCCAGUUCUACAUGUUAAAACAAAGAUAAAACAGGAUAGCAACUCCAAGGGAAGGAGUAGGUGAUAUAGCUCAGCUGAGAUCUCCCAGUGGACCCCUGGAUGGACUGGACCUGCUACGUCAGCCAGGAGCCUCUUUUGAUAGUGUUGGAGCAGGCUACGAUGAGCCCGGAGACACCCCCCAGGGCCUGUUGAAGGAACACAAACAUGGAGCACACAUCUUUGUCCUCACAAAACAGCAAGAGGUAGAAACUAAUGUCCAGAGGUUUGAUGUCUGCAGCCUCGGUCUUGGUGGCCUCUCUGCUUCCUUUAGGAAGCUGUGUAGAGCGGUGUGACUUCUGAAGAGGGUCUGCUCGUUCUUGAUGAUGUGCGUAUCUGGGGGUAUGCUUUAGGAUGCAGUUUGCCUCAUUCGUGGCUGUGAUACACGGCCUCACCCACUCUUAGGGAAUCACAGCAGAUAUCAGGGCAGGAGAGAGAAUCUCUGCCCAACAGUAGGGAUUUGAUUAGAUUUAUAUUUCCAGCUACAGUUUUAGGUGAAUGAAAAGAGGUCCAUGACAUAUAUUUUGACAGCUUAAUUGCGGUAUAAUUUAUAUACCAUAAAAUCAUUCAUUUUAAGCAUACGAUGAUUUUACGUAACUUUAUGGAAUUGUAUAACCAUCACUGCACUCUAAUAGUAGAACAGUUUCAUCAGCCCCCCAAGAAACCUUGCACCCAUUUACAGUCAUUCCCCACUUCUGCCUGCAGCCUCAGGCAACCACUAAUCUACUUUCUGUCUCUAUAGAUUUGCAUAUUCUGGACAUUUCAUGUAAAUGGAAUCAUAAAUUGUGUGGUUUUGCAUCUGGCUUCUUUCACUUAGCAUAAUGUUUUCGAGGUUCACCCAUGCUGUAGCAUGUAUUAAUGGUUUCUGUUCUUUUUUAUGGCCUAAUACUAACCUAUUGGAUGGAUAUACCAUAUUCUCUUUAUUCAUUAUCAGUUGUUGAAUAUUUGGAUUAGUUCAACUUUGGAGCUAUUAUGAAUGACACUGCUAUGAAUGUAUCAUGUAAAACUCUCUGUGUGGUCAUGUAUUUUCAUUUAUCUUGAGUAUACAAUGUUUUAAAGUGGAAAAAAGAAGGAUAGGCAUAUAAAGAGGAAUCUGAAAGGAUAUGAACUUAGGUUUUCAAAGUGAUUAUCGUUAAAUGGUAAGAUGAUUCCUUCUUUUUGCUUACCAAAAUUUUCUUACAAUAAGCUUAUAUUAUUUUAACUUUUCCUAUGUGUCUGGAAUAAGACAAAGACAAUAUAGCGCUCAUUUUUUAAGACAAAAAAAAACCCAACAAAUAUUUGGAAAGUUGCAGUCCCUCUUUUGACAAUUGAAUCUUCUCGGGAAUCCUUAGCAGGUGGUUUGUAGUGAGAUAUUAUUUUGAAAUAUUUAAUGAGAUUUUUACCCAUAUUUCUAACCAUUAGUCCUUCACUCAACCAGUUAGCUUAAGACAUUCUGUGUUAGUGCAUUCCCAGAGAAAGGGUGGAAUAGACCUCGAAUUGAAUGAGACUAGGUUUCUCCUACCUUGCAGAAUAAAUUUAAUUUUAAGUAGAAGCUCCCAAUUAUAGACAAUUUUCAUAUUUUUAUUUCUCACUCUUGAGUUGCAGACUCAAACUAGUAUUCUCUAUAGGUUAUCCAACCUUUACUUGAGAACCCUCAAACUCAACAUGGCUCUAAAUUCAACUUCCUGAGUCCUCCCUACAUUAUACCUCCCUACUUCCAACCAUCCCAGUCACAACCCUGAAUCAUUCCUGACAUCUCUCUCCCCCCAACUCCUCUCUUCAAUGAGUUGUCAAGUCUAGCAGAUUCUGCCCUAAACAGUUCUCUCCCACUUGUCCCCUUGUGUGAGGUCAGGUUCUCAUUACAGUGUAGUCCCAUCAUUGAUGCAUGUCGCAUCCACAAAUUCAGCAUGAGAGCAGAGAGAGGAGAGAGGUAACCAUGGAAAUGCCACUGGUGGUCCUUACCACCAGGGUUCUUGUGAGCAGGAGGUGCAAGAUAUGAACCUGCCCUCCCACACUAGGUCUCCCAGUCUCUGCCCAUCUUUCAUUGUCAACUCUCCCACCUCUAUGAUUUUGUUGUUUAAUGGUACCCAUUUUUUAUUCAGCAUGGUCCUCAGUUAAAAGCCAGCUACUGCUUCUGGGGCUCAACCAAUAAACAGCAAUUAAUUCCAAAGCUGGAGGAAAAACAGGCUGGGUUGGGCACCAACAGGGCACCUUCCUAAGUAUUUUUCAAGGAUAAUUUCAAGCAAAAAUUUUCACUAUGUGCUUUCAUUUCAAUCACUAACACUAACAUUAGAUGGGGCUCCACUGAAUGGUCACCAGGAAAAUUCAAAGGCACGUUGAGUACACAAUAUUAGCACAAUCCUACCAAAGAAACAAAAAGAAUAAAAAUAAAUAUACACCUAGAAUAGUAGGUCAGCAAUUCACAUUUGCAUCCUAAAACGAUUUUUUUAAACCAAGGGGGCUUGGUGUUUUCACCUUCCAUUUGAACCUUAGAAAUUCCCAGUCAGGCACAUGAUAUUUCAUUUGUCAGGUUGACUCAUAGAUUACCCCACUACCUUAAUAUCUCACCUUUAGAUCCUGAUCCCCUCUAGUUCCAGAUCACCCAGAUGGCUGCAGCUGUGUAACCUGAGCCUCAGGUACCUGCAGGGCACUGAGAAGGCUCUGGCAAUAAGACACAGCUUCCUUUCUGCAGGUUUUUUAUUAUAAGUUUUCUCUUUGCUCACACAUACGGCUUAAUAGACAGGAAAAGAACAAGAACCCUUCAAGAUUUCCUUAGCAGAAAGAUAAGCAGUGUGAAUGUUUUCUGGUGGUACUUGCAAAUUCCAAAUAGGACAGGUCACAUUUUUUAGGCCCCCUGUACCAUGCACAGAUGAAGCACUCAACCAUAUAACUGAGCCCAGGGGAAGAUGCCCAGGCAAGGAGUCAAGAGACUUGGGUUCUAGUCCCAACUCUGCUAAUAAUGAAUAAUGAAUGUGAAAGCACAUUGCAGACUGUAAACACCAUGCAAAUGUAUGAAACGAUUGGUAUUGGUUUCUAUGAUUCCUAGCACUGCUUUUCCUAUCCCCACUGAACCUUUUCAACAUUGUUCUCAAAGUUAGCCUCCAGUGUUCUCUCAUGGUCUAUUUGACCCUUAAUUUGUCAACUUAUUGAUAACAAUAGAACUACUAAACCACAGUUUGACCCAAAUGCAAUAUAUAUUGAGCCUUGAUUUCCCUGAAUAGAAUGUAGAUAAGAAGACUUUCUAGGGCAUCAGGCUCUUAAAUGGAGGAUGACUUAACUGAUGCUUAAAUCCUCCUUUUCUUUAAAGAGAAAAAAAGUGGUUGUGCAUUGGGAUGAUGGCUGAGUCUCCAAUUAAAUUCUUUAAAGCACAUGGCUUUGACGUUUUAGUCCUACCUCUGAUUACAGUUAGAGGAUUGUGCUUGAUCACCAUGGCAGAGGUAGAAGAAACAGAUUUGAUUUUGUUUCCUUCUGUUUUAUAUUGACUAAUGAUUACAGUUCAAAAAGUGUCUAAAUUGCAAUAUUUCCCAUUGCAUAUUCCACACUUAAUCAAAAGGAGAGUAGCAUUCGUUAGGGUAAAGAAUAAAGAGAAUCGAGAAUCCUGGGCAGUUUAUCUGAUCCUGUUGCUAAUCCCCUGCUUACAGUUUGAUUAUGAGAUGACAAGCUUUCAUACUUAGUUUGUCCUUCUAGAGAGUGAGUGUAAUGCCGGAAGCUCUCCCUGACCCAGCACCGUUUAGCUUGGUUCCUGUCUCUGGUCCCUCUUAGCCUGCCUCAUCACUUGUGGGUCAGCCUUGCGUGCAUAUACAGGUAUGUAGCCUUUAGAAAUCACCAAAUCCCAUCCUCCACUUUAAUAGGUGAGGAAACUGAUCCUCUGGGCAAGAUCUGUACCCGACAGAGCCCUAGGUAGCUACCCCUUCCCCCAUCAGACCUCUAUUUCUACUUUCUCAGAGCUAGGAAAUCCCAGCCCCAACCAACAGACCUGCACAGAAUGAAAACCUGAAGACACCAGGAACUGGGCCAGAAAUGGACUAUGACAUCCAGAUCUCCUCUGAGAAUGGGUUCGACCCUGACCCAGGUGGAUAGAGUGGAGUCAAGGAUUUCCUGUGUUAUAAAAGCAGAUGACCACUCAUUUAAGAAACGGUAACCAGAAAGUAAGACCACCAUGGGGUCUGUUUAAAAGAUAUUGAUCGUAUCAUGCAGGGUUCUUAGUUGUAAAUUAGUUGUGAAUUAGUCUCUGACAAUAUAAACAAAAUUAAUUUAUUAAACUGAUGUCGAGGAGCUUCCAUAGCUUUGAGACUAAAGAGCAGAUUCAAAGACUAUAUAAUAAGCUAUUUAAUUGCUCCCAUGGUGACACUCCUAAAUGCCACAGCUGGCUGUGGACAUUAGUGCUUGUACCCGACCCUAGGUGCUGCCUCUAGAACUGCCGCUAUGCUGCAUCUGGAAACUGGGGUUGGCCAGUUCUGCUCUGCUUUCUUGAUCCACUCAUAUUAGUGCCUAGACCAGAGACAUCUAAUUGGCAGAGCCUAUCCCGUGUGCCCUGAUGGUAAGGGAGAUGGAGAAAUAGAGUUUCCAGCAUUUUCAGUUUCUAUAUGGAAAACAAGCUUUGCUCCACAAAAUGGGAGAGUCUCCAAAUGUAGGAAGGAGGAAGGAAGAGAUUCAGAUGCUGAGACACAAAAAGAGUGACAGAUGUCCAUGACCCUAUAGAAGAAGGGAAAAGAGAAUAUUAUCCUGGAAAAACACAGGGAGAACAACCUUUGAUUUGCCCAAGGAACCAGAAGAAAAUGAGAAAGAAGUUUUUGGUAUUCUCUAAAAAGUUAAAGGCAAUGCCUUUUGCAACAAGGACAUAAGUAAUAAAGAGAGACUCCAAUAUGAAAAGACAACAGAAUAACUGAAAUGGGAAAUGGACAAAUACUUAGGAAAUUUAAAAAGUGCCAAUAGCAGAAUUAAUAUCCACUUUGGGGGCAAGAACCAAGAGCAGAAAUCACCCAGAAAAAUCUAGCCAAUGACAUAGAGGAUAAACUUAAGAAUCUCUCCUAGAUUAUGGAAAAAAGCCUAAAGAGAUCAAAGUAGAAAGAGAAAAUCAUCUAUGUAAAUCAGGGGCCAGAGAUCCAACCUGAAAAUUAUUGGAAGUAAGUCCUUAGGAAGAAAACAGGACCUGGCUCGGAAACAGUCACUGGUCAGAAACACUGACUAGGGCAUCAGUAGAGGAAACUUUCCCAAGCUGCGGAGGUUACCUGGGUGUGCAAGUCACAGGCGCCACACUGCAUUCAAGGCAAAACCAAAGACGAGAUUCACACGCACACACAUCAGGGUGGAAUGUUUGUAACACGGAGUAAAGCAAAACGACAACAACAAAUCCCGUAAACGUCUGGGUGGCAAAAGGAGUUUACCUAGCAAGGAAUAAAAAUCACUUUAGCCUCAGGACUUCCCUGGUGACGCAGUGGUUAAGAAUCCGCCUGCCGAUGCAGGGGACACGGGUUCAAGCCCUGGUCCGGGAAGAUCCCACAUGCGGCGGAACAACUAAGCCCAUGCGCCACAGCUACCUGAGCCCUCAUGCCUAGAGCCCAUGAGCCACAACUACUGAAUCCCACGCACCUAGAGCCUGUGCUCCACAAGAGAAGCCACCACAAUGUGAAGCCCGCGCACCGCAACAAAGAGUAGCCCCCGCUUGCCACAACUAGAGAAAGCCCACGCCCAGCAUUGAAGACCCAAUGCAGCCAAAAAUAAGUAAUACGUUAAUUAAUUAAUCAAAAAAAUCACUUUAGCCUCAGCUUUUUGGGCCAUAAUACAAUGUCAAAAGUAAAUAAAAUAAGAUUUAUAUCAUUUGGGGGAGAAAGGUUUUGACCAAAUGAACAUGUUUUACUUGUGUGAAAGCAACAGAAAGACAUCUUAGGUGUGAAAAAGAAAAUACUCCAAGGUCUCGCUUCUGAAAGUAUGGUCUGUGGACCAGCAGUACCAGCACCAUCUAGGAGCUUGUUAGAAAUGCGGAGUCUCCAGCCCUCCGGACCUACUGAAUUAGAAUCUGCAUUUUACCCGGAUCCUCAGGCAGUUCCUAUGCCUGUUACUGCCUGAGAAACACUGGUUUAAGACGAACCCUACAGACCAAGAAUGGAACCGAAGUUAUGAACUCGGGAAUGGUGAAGUGAUGGUUUAAAUGAUUGGCAAACUGCUCUGUGAACUGUCAACAGAGCCCCCACCUCAUCAGAAGGUCCCUGAGGACCACGGUCAAGAUCACCCAUGACUAAACAGGUGGGACGAAGCAUCUGCAACAACAGGAAGCAUUGGUGCCCUCUUGCAGUAGCGUCUGGAUCGAAGUUUCCCUUUCAUGGCUUUCAUUGUGGCAUUUUAUCUCUUCUGAGACUAAUACUGUCAUUGGACACAAGAAAUUUCUCUUUCAGGACCUAUCGCUUAAUUAUUGAGAAAAACAAUUAAGUGUGAUUAAAACAAUGUUUAAAAAAAAUCAAAACAGUUAAUGUCUGUUUAAAAAAAUACCGGAAGAGGGCUUCCCUGGUGGCUCAGUGGUUGAGAGUCCGCCUGCCAAUGCAGGGGACGCGGGUUUGUGCCCCGGUCUGGGAAGAUCCCACAUGCCAGCGGAGCGGCUGGGCCCGUGAGUCAUGGCCGCUGAGCCUGUGCGUCCGGAGCCUGUGCUCCGCAAUGGGAGAGGCCACAACAGUGAGAGGCCCGCGUACCGCAAAAAUAAAAAUAAAAAUAAAAAAUACCGGAAGGAAAUAAAGCAAAUUAUUACAUAAUAAAAGUUAUUUCUUUUUAAAUCUCUAUAUUUUUCAGGUGUUCUUGAAUGAGCUGAUUAUUACAGAUUAUAAAAAUAAAUUUAAAAAAUAAAUGUUUUCUGGCAUGGUGAGAAUACUUAAGCCAGGAAGCAAAUCAUAACUUAUAUGGGAUAUUUCCCCUAAGCCUUCCUGUCCAGCAUUUUCUCACUGUUCCCCUUCCUGCUCUCUGUUCUAACAAAACUACCUUAUGCUUUGUCACUCCACUGUCUUUACUAACUGGGAAAUCUACCUCUCCCAGCCUACCAAAAAUAUCUGAGGGGACAAAUCCUAUAGUCUUUCAAAGCUGGUUCAGGUGACACCUUCCCUACAAAAACCUCCCUGAUAGUUAGAACCAUUGGUAUUCUAACCCUCCUUCAACUCCCUGUAUGUUUCUUCAGGUCUUUUACACUUUAUAUCUCAUAUUAUUAUGUUAUUAAUAGUAAUAGUAGUAUUAGUAGUAAUAGUCUAAUGCCUUUGCUAUACUAUGAGCUCUUCAAGCCCUUUUGGAGUUUUGAAAAUACCUUGAUUACAGUAAACACCAAUAGGUGUUGUUAAGUGAAUGAGUCAUCAUUUGUCCUAGGAGUUGAGGCAGGUGCAAAAGAUUGUGGAAAUACCCCACAAUCUUUUCUUUUUACCAGCUGUGUAGCAUUGCUUUGAAUUUGGUUAAUAUAGCAACUGAGUGGUUUUAGUAACAAUAGCUUUUUAGGCUUGACAAAUAGAAAAACCAAGGAAAUACUUGUGUUUCUUUUUAAAAAACACCAAAAAGAACAUGUUGUAUCUUUCUGUAUUUAGAACAACUUACUAUCCUGCCUUGGGCAACUUGCUUCCUGGGCUCCAGAGGAACUGUUUGCUCUAAAAUUAGAAGAAAUGAGUUUGGAUUCAGAGCUCUCUAAGGCCCCUUCCAAAUCUAGCCUUCUGUAAUCCUAAAAAUGAUGAUCAAGCCAAGUUUGGCUUUUAGGGACUUCAGUUGUUGUGUUCCAAAUAUUACAGUGUCA